rnacentral:rRNA from 1 species
CACAUGCAAGUCUCAGCACUCCAGUGAGGACGCCCUUACAACCUCCGCAAGGCCAAGGAGUCGGCAUCAGGCACAAAACUACUGCCCACAACGCCUAGUCCCACCACACCCCCAAGGGUGCUCAGCAGUGACAAAAAUUGCCUAUGAGCGUCAGCUUAAACCAGUCAGAAAGAACAGAGCCGGCAAACUAGGUGCCAGCCGCCGCGGCUACACCGACGGGCUCAAGCUGAUAACUACCGGCGUCAAACGUGAUUAAAGAAAACCCCCGUUAGAAUUAAACUUAAACUUAGUUGUAAAAAGCCUACUCCUAUGGAAAUCCACAAUCGAAGGUUAUUCUAAUGCCCACUCUUGAAUACACGACAACUUGGGUGCAAACUGAGAUUAGAUA